AAAAAAGAAAAGAAAACUAUUGUAAACCCACAACUGUAAAAUUUGAUGCAAUUAACUGUAUAUAUAUAUAGUGCAUUGGCGGGAAACCUUUGUUCUUGCAUAGCCAACUCUUGUCUAUAGGCAGCGAGCAAAUUUAACCACACACUCUUUGUCCUCUGGAUCACCCUCUGCUAUUACUUUUAGGGUUAUAGAUUCUAAUCUAUAACUAUGUUUUCUCCUUGUUAUCUUGAGGGCCACAUGCCUAGAACCCUGAUCCAGAUGACAAAGAAUGUCUGUUUAAAUUUUUUGCUGAUCUCAUACACACUGCACAGUCAUGUCUGCUUUAGGGGACAAUUGAAGGACUCGUUGAAGCGGCAGUCGUGGAGAGUGGCUCAAGAUUGUGGGAGUGCACCAAAUGAAGAAGAGGAGAAGUUGGGUGUAUUAUGCAUUAAGAAGGAAACCCAUUACAGACAAUUAGAGAAAUCAAUUAAUGGGUUCUAUUCAAUAUUGCCAUGUCUUAUGCUUACGAUUUUCUUUAGAUUUCGUCUAUCUGAAUACAUCAGUUAAGAUGUAGAUGCAAGCAUAUAUAGUUGUUAACAUUUGGCUUUAUAUCUAAGAGGACUGAUUUGAAUAUUCCCUUGGAUGUAUGAAGUCUCAUAUUACUAUAUUGGUCUUUAUCACCAUAACUACAAUUUGUUUCCUAUGCUCUAUGAAAUUUUUGUCAUACAAGAGAAACUAGAGCUUGAACUCGGAUUCUUGGAUUACUGUACAAGCAUUUUCUUCCCCUGUAUAGUUCAAUCGUUUCACAUAGCUCUUAAAUAUUAAAUGCCAUUUUCAUUCGAUUGCAUGUUCUGGGGUUCUCACAUAGCCAAUUCUUGUUUAUCGGCACCAAGAAAGAAGUCCAAAGUCUCUUUAAUCCACUUUUUGGAUUGCUAUUGCAAUUGAUACUGAUUCUGAAUCCCAGCAUGUUAUGUAAAAGGGUCUUAUUAGUUGGGGACUUUUGCUUAGAGUUCAUAUUACUAGUGAAAAUGGAACAUAUAUCACUAACCAUGCAUGAAUUAAAUCAUUGUGGCUUAAA